rnacentral:lncRNA from 1 species
AGCUGAAAUGGACAGAGCCAAAAGAAGAGGACUUAAUAGAUUUCAUGGUUACAAAGAAAGGGUUCAAUGAGGAUAGAAUACGUAAUGGUAUAAAGAAAUUGACAAAGGCACGUAGUGGCAGUACACAGGGUAGACUUGAUGGCUUCUUUAAAGUACUUUCAACAACAUCUACUACUCCAAAAAGAAAGGCUGAAGAUUCUAAAGGGUCUGCCAAGAAGAAAGCAAAAGGAGGAUUCAAAAGACCAAAGUGAUAGAAAGGGAGCUUUUGAUGAAAUAAAACUUGAUUUUUCAGCACCAUAAAUCUCAAAGUAUCCAUCUUGGUCCUGUUCCAUUGUCAUAUUCAUGAAUUACAAGAGGAGACAUUUAAGUGAUGUUGGAGUUUCUAAAUCAUUUUCUUACCAGUAAUAUUUGCCAAUUUCAAUAGCCAUUGGAAUGUUUAAUUCAAGAUUUAGUAAGCGGAAUUCAUCAUUAGUUGUUGAUGUCUCAUUAUUGUAGUAUAGGCAUAGGUGUUAGGAUUCAGCUUGAGGUUAUACUUAAACUGCUUAAAAGUAAGUUUAGACUUUUCCGUAGCGGUUUAAUGUGUUGUGUCCCAUCACAUUUGUUACGAAAAAGUCACUAGGUAGACGGGUAGAAUUUAAUUUCUGAUACUGACCUUAUUGUCUGUCAUACUAAAAUACUCAUGUUAUGUAAACAUUGUAACAAACAAUUUAUAAAGAGAAGUGAAAGUGGUUUUCAGGAUACAAAUCAUUUUAUAUAAACCAAAACUGAACAAUGUCAGUUAUGUAGAAAUAAUACACCUAAGAUCUGUUUCUGAUAUAAAUGUAUAUUGUCAUGAAAGUUAGUAGUAGGGUGGCUUUCAGGGCAGAAAUGGACAUGGGGUGGUCACAAAAGUAAAACAAAGGAUGUUAUAUACCAAAAUGUUGGCAAAUGUCUGAAGUUUAUGAUUCUGGCAAAAAUAUAUUUCUUGAGCUAGUGCGGGCAGAGAAAUCCAAGAUGACUGCCAUUUUUGUCAGAUAUUACUAAAAUUACUGGAAAUCUUUUUUGUUCUUUUUAAAUAUUAUGAACAGCUUAUAUUUCAUAUAUAUCAAUGAAAGGUUGAAAAAUUAAAAAAACUAGGGGGAAAAUGUUUU